UGCCACUGUGAGCUGACUCAGGGGCCUGUGGAAGCACCGCUCAGCCAGGGACCAGCAGGUGAAGUAAGGAUGCCUGUCACUCUGUUGAUUGCCUCCUUUCUGUGCAGAGCGUUUGAGAGGAGCCUUCUCCGGGCCUCCCACCCGCCUCCCAUGGCAGCUCAGGUCACCGGUCAUAAGCUCUGAGGCACUUUGUAUUUCUUCACCCAGUAAGUGAUGAUGCAUUUGUUUGUGGUUAUUCCUGAAGCCUCAAACUCCCGAAGGGGAAGGAUAUUGUCAGUCAGUCCUGCUCACCGUGACGUCUCAUCAGUCAGCUCAGAGCCUGGCACUCGGAAAGUUGCGGACUGAAUGAACUGGGACUUGCCCAAGGUUAUCCUCCAUUUAGUACUAGAGCUGGGACCAGGACCCGGUGCCCAACACUCAGGUGAAG
rnacentral:lncRNA from 1 species